rnacentral:lncRNA from 1 species
UCUCACAGAUCCUCUCUAACCAAUAGCAAGAUGUGGACAAUUAAUCACUUUUACAGGCCACCACUUUUUCCCAACUUGCAACUUCAUAAUAUUUUCAUCACAUGUCGGAUAUUUCUCCAAGAACCCUUUUUGCUAGUCCUGGACAAAAAAGAAUAAAAAAACCUUUAACUUCAUUAGUUUUGACCACAACUUACAAUUACCUAAUUAAAAGUAAAAUCAAUAUCUAUACAUGUACAAGACUAAGUUAGAGAACAAGAAAGAAAGAUAUGGUUUGGUUUAACUUAAUUUGGUUAAUAUUAAAUUUAUGAAUAGGAACCAUGGUUUGCUUAUUUAUUUAAAACAAUAUUGCAAUAUUUCAUAUUAUAUUCCAUAAGAUAUAAUUUGUCUAUUUCAACUAUCAUUUUGCUAAUAAUUAACAUCCAUACUCUAAAAUUUAAAACACAAUCAUAAAUCAUAUGUAUAAUUACAUGACACAAACCAAAAUAAGCCAAUCCAAAUCCUUGGCAAAAUACAACAUGAUCCUUGACCACGUCCGUUUCUCGGCUCAGAGUAAGAAGUAAGAUACAACACGAUCCAUAAUCCCACUAUUAAAUUCAAAGAAAUAAUUUGCUAAGAAUAUUUCAAACAUUUAAUUUCUAAAUAGUUUGGGUUAAUAUAGAGAGUUGGCUGAUUUAUGUAAAAUAAUAUAAUUAGAUUGGUGACAAUAUGAUUAUACCAUAUAUAGUAAUUUCUACUAAAAUGCAAACUAAAACUAUCACAACUUGUUGCUUACAUUGUAUUUUUUUUAUAAAAUAUGAAUGAUUUUAUUCAACAUUGUUAUUAAAUAAGCAAGGGUAAUAGUGUCAAUUUCUUUAAAAAAAUAUGAGGUUCCAGCCAAUAGACAAAGAAUAGAAAUGGGGUGCCCUUGUUAAUUCAAUUCUUUUGCUUAUAUAGAAAAUAGCUUUGUCUAAAUUAGGAGUAUAUAAAUCACUUUUUAUUAUUUAUAUAUCAACAAGCAUAAUUUGGCUAAUAUAGAGCAUUACACGUUAAAAUUAAAUUAUAUACUAAAAGUGGAGCUUUAUCACCAAAACUACAAUUGUAUCACCAACAAAUUAACUAGAGGGAAAAGAUAAGACCUAACAAAUUAAGGACAAUAUUAAUUGACCAGUGUUGGUCCCUGAGUGGCUCUGGAAUGUUACUAUUAUAUUCAAAGAAUAAAGUUCUAAAGACUCAUGCACCAUAUAGAUAUAGCCAACCAUACGAAGCACUAUUGACCUGGUUCAUUAGCUUUGUGGGGUUUGUAAGUAUUUGAUCUAAUACUUACAAAAUUUGUCACAUUAAGUGGUUUUCAUGGUGACAGCAGUACUCUUAGAAAGAUGACAUCAAGUAUGCAUGCAAGAAAUAAAAGACUAUGCAGUAAAAAAAGAUAGAAAACGAAUGAAAACAUAUACCAGGUAGUGUGCACUCCAACCUGAGAAAGAACUUGUGUGUUUUUAAUUUGUUUUUGUUUAUGAGGUUGUGAUAUGUAUUUGAUGAGCAGGAAAUUAUAAGGAAAUGUGUGAAUAUGGUGAUGGGGUUUUGAAUAGAGAUUGGAAUUGUGGUUGGAGUGUGAAGCUUGACACAUGGGGAGAGAAAUGAAGAAGUGAGAACAUGGAAAGAGAAGCUUGCUCUAACAUGUACCCAUAUCCCCUUGACUUUUUUUUGCUACCGUUUUUGUAUAUGAUUGGAGAUAAAUGAGUGUGUCUUUCCGUGAGAAAGGAAGAAAUGGUGUGAGAUGAAAUGGGUUGCAUAUAUGUCUAUGCUUGCAUGUGUGUAAUUACCCCUUUGUAUCAAUCUCUUGCAAGAAUAAGCCUCCACAUUUGAAAUUAAGAUACCAUGGCUUUUUCUGC